rnacentral:rRNA from 1 species
GAUGAACGCUGGCGGCGUGCUUAACACAUGCAAGUCGAACGGUGAAGGCGGAGCUUGCUCUGCUGGAUCAGUGGCGAACGGGUGAGUAACACGUGAGCAAUCUGCCCCUGACUCUGGGAUAAGCGCUGGAAACGGCGUCUAAUACUGGAUACGAGCUGCGAAGGCAUCUUCAGCAGCUGGAAAGAAUUUCGGUCAGGGAUGAGCUCGCGGCCUAUCAGCUUGUUGGUGAGGUAAUGGCUCACCAAGGCGUCGACGGGUAGCCGGCCUGAGAGGGUGACCGGCCACACUGGGACUGAGACACGGCCCAGACUCCUACGGGAGGCAGCAGUGGGGAAUAGUGCACAAUGGGCGAAAGCCUGAUGCAGCAACGCCGCGUGAGGGACGACGGCCUUCGGGUUGUAAACCUCUUUUGGCAGGGAAGAAGCGAAAGUGACGGUACCUGCAGAAAAAGCGCCGGCUAACUACGUG